rnacentral:rRNA from 1 species
AGCAGCCGCGGUAAUACGGAGGAUCCAAGCGUUAUCCGGAAUCAUUGGGUUAAGGGUCCGUAGGUGGAUUAGUAAGUCAGAGGUGAAAGCCUGCAGCUCAACUGUAGAACUGCCUUUGAUACUGCUAGUCUUGAGUCAUUAUGAAGUGGUUAGAAUGUGUAGUGUAGCGGUGAAAUGCAUAGAUAUUACACAGAAUACCGAUUGCGAAGGCAGAUCACUAAUAAUGUACUGACACUGAUGGACGAAAGCGUGGGGAGCGAACAGGAUUAGAUACCCUGGUAG